GCGGAGGGGAGAGACGGACUGAUACACAGCAUCUGGUUAAAGUCAGAUGGAGGAAAACUGCAGCCAAUGCAGAAGUUUCAAUUUUAGGAGAUACUUGGGAGAAAUGAGAGAGACGGAAACACUUUGUUCUGUCACUAUCCUGUUAGCUGGGUGCCGAUCGGAACAUUUGGCAUCAUGAGCGGAGGGUGGACUUUGGCCAACCCCACGCCCCCACCAGGUGCAAAAAUGCCAAAGGAACUUCUCCAGCCAGAAGAUCCCCCGGAAUGAAGGCUGAAGAUUUCCAAAGUACUGGCCCCUCUGAAAUCUGCCUGAGGCAACUUGAACUUAGAUGAAUGGCCAUUAAACAUGCUGAUGCUGAACAAGGCUGCACAGCGUCCAAUGACAUCUCUGCUGAUUGGCCUCAUAGACGAAAGAAUCCCCACGGACCCAAACGACGCCAAACAUCUUGGCAAUGUGGGUGGUUCUGUCUCCGGCAACUGGACCUAUGGUUCUUCAAAAAACAACAUGAGAAGUUAUACACCUGCCUAUCUCAACAGAAGGAUGCAGGUGGGAGGCUCUAGAGCAUGCAAUUUUCAAAUUCCUGCUACUUACUAGCUGUGUGGUUUAGGCAAAUUGCAGAAACCUCUCUGUGUUCAGUUUCUUUGGCUAUCACAAUGGGGAUAAUAAUGACCACCUCAUAAAUGAGGACCUUCAAAAAAAAUAAAUAAACGAGGACCUUCAUGUUGAGCACUUGAUAGUACAAUGACUCAGCUUAGUCACGACUCAACAAGUGUUAGCUGUACUUCAUUCCCAUCAAAUAAAACAAUAAGCACUUAAACAAUUUAUAAAAUUCAAAGCUUUUAAGAGAGGGUAAGAUUUUUUGUAGACACAGUGGGAUGGAUUGGGAAAAGUAUUGGACUUGGAGUCUGUCUUAAUCUUAUAUCCAACACCCAUCAGUUCUGUUACCCAAGGUAAGCCUGUUAACUGCCAAGAAGUCUCAGUUUAUUUGCUUAAUGUCAAUAAUAGCACACGUCCUGCCUUGCUAUAUGAGUCUGAAAAUAAAAGAUGAUUCAUGUGACGUUAUCUGGCGGAAACGAAAUGCUUUGCAAAGGAAACGUAUCAAUUAGUUGUUGUUAUCGUUAGUAUGUUAAAGAACCGUCCUUCAUUUAUCUGUGAUGGUCAGAAUGAAGACUCCAUUCACUGGAAAGGCUUUCACCAUGCCUCAAAAUAGCAUUCCAGCAAAGUCUUAUUUACACAGGUUCCGUGAUUUAAUUGCCUCUGAGGACGUGGAGCAGCCCCUUGAAGAGAAGUGAAGUCUUGGGUUACUUUACGUUGGCCUGGGCUUUAGAAGCGGGUGGCAGUAACUCUGAAUAGAAUCAGUGUUGAACUGUACACAUUUAUGAUUUAUUUUGGUUAGAGCAACCCUCAGGGUAGGGUGGGAUUUGGUGGGGUGGCAGUAGCCUGGUCUGGUCAAUGAUUAAUCUGGGAAUUUCCAGCUGUCCUCAGCCCUUUUAGGAAAAGCCCCAGCUGUCUUCAGAGCUAAUGAAUGUCCAUCCUGAAUGAAUCUCCUGGAAGCUGCCCACCCCCGGUUCUCCGGGGCCCAGCAAUGCUGAGUGGUUAGUAUGGAUGGUUCAUAGGAAAACAAAGCUUUGAAAGGCAGGACAGAAACAAAUUCUGACUUGACCUCAAGCUGCUCCCGAAGCCCAGGGUUCAUGUUUCCCAGGCUGCACAUCAAUCUCAGCUCCCCAGGCUGGCGAGGUGGGAAGAGAGUUCACAGUGCCCUUCAAUCAGGGAUGGUGCUGGAGGCAGCAAGGACGAGCCGCUCGUUAUGUGAGCGAGUUAGGAGUCUGUUUCUUUAGUCUUUUUGUGUUCCUUUACAGAACUUAGUUUGACAACGGCCUUGGACCAGCAUGAAGCAAAGAUUCUGAGUCGACAUCAGCUUCACCUGGCAUUUCAGAAAGAUACCCCUUGCAUGCCACUUCCUUUCCUUCCAUUGUUUAUCUCUGCAGCUUCAAUCUCAUGGAGGCGAUAUUCAUUUACUUAGGGGCUCAAUUUAGGUGAUGAAAAUUCUAACUGUUCCUGGUGGAGAGGGCACAUGCCUCCUAGCUUUUGCUCUCAAUAUCCACUUGCUGUGGCCAUCGUGCUACACCUCAGCCGUAGGACCAACCUGAAGUCAGGGGAAUGCUUUCCACCCUUGAGGUGCAACUUACAGCUCCACAAGCCAGCACACAUCCUUGGCCUUCUUCCUUGUGGCCUGUGGCAUCAUUAGUGGAUAGAUCUGGCUUCAGUUUAGCUCAGGCCUUGGGGAUCUGAGCACAUGGCUCUUCCUGCCACUUCCGCUUCCCAAGAGUCCUCAUAUCAGCAACCUUUGGGAAUAAAGUGCUCUUAGAGCACCUGAAAAAUAAAAAGUAGAUGGCACUAGUGGUAAAGAACCCACCUGCCAAGGCAGGAGAU